UUUUUUUCUUUUGCUAUAAAGGACGUUAGUGGGACAAAUGGAGAUUUGAAGAAAUCUGUAGACAAGUUCAUGGUAUCGUAUCGAUGUUAAUUUCCUGAGUUGACCGUUGGACUGCAGUUACGUAAAAGAAUGUCCUGAUUUUUCAGACCACGCUGAGGACUUUAGGAGUGGAAGGUCAUCGAGUCUGCAAUUUACUCUCAAACGGUUGAGAAAAACGAGGAAAGAGGGAGAGAGAAUGACAAAGCAAAUGCAGUAAAGUGUUAACAUUCAGUGAAUCUGGGUAAAGGCUUUACUGGAAUUCUUUGUAUUCUUUUUGCACCUUUUCUCUAAGUCUGAAAUUACUUCAAAGUAAAAUGCUAUUUUUUAAACGCAGGUUUUUCUGGUUCAGUUUCAGCCAGGGCUGCUAACAGCACCCACAUUCUAAACAAGGUGCUAGACCAUUUAGAGCAGUUAUUUCAACCCAGGUGGUUAAAAACCAGUUUUAGAAACCUUAGGCGCCUCCACUUCCUGUCUAUAGCGCAGAGAGGAGAGAUGGGGGAGGGGAGGGGAGGGGAGGAGGGGAGGGAGGCAGACCAAGGCUUUCUCAAGAGGCGGAUCCAGGGGGCUGCCACAGCUACUUCUCCUUCCCCACCUGGGGAGGCGCAUGGGGUGCCUCCCCUCUCUGUAGGCUGAGGGAGAGGGCCUUCCAGGAGGCUAUUUGCAGAGUCUGACCUGUGUGUCCUGUGUUCUGGGGGGUUCAGAGGCUGGCUGGGACCCAUGCCUGGAAAAGCCCGCAUGCCAAAUGCUGGCCUGACCAGCUGCUUGCUUCUGGAAUCAGGAGAUGGGGCUGUGCAGGGUGAGCCUUGUCAGGGCAGAGCAUGCCUGUGGCUUCCCGGGGACCAGCUGAGGACCUGGGUGAAGGGACAUAGCUUGGAGCUGUCCAGAAGGGACUCUGUGCAUGAGGGGUGUGGGUGGGACUCAAUCAAGCUGGUCCUUGAGUAGGGGUACCCCGGGCAAGCCAGUGCGAGCAGGCCCUGCCCAGGAAGGAAACUGCAGUGUGAGCCACUCCUAGCAAUGGGGGUACCAAAGAACCCCCAAAACAAUCCGCCAGAAAAAAACAAGCCAGCUUGAAUCAUUGCUCCAGCCAGAGCAAAGCCACACCAGAGGACGUGGGUGCCAGGCAAAGGAAAUCUUUCUUUUCGUCUCCCACCCCAUGCCACGCUGGCCACGGAAGAGCCCAGGGGGUGGGGGUAGGGAGGCAGGAGGAGAAUCUGGGGGCUGGAAAGCGCACAGAACCCCCUAGGAUUCGUCCUCUGUAAAAUGGCCAUUACAGUUGCAUCUCCCUGUUGGGCUGGGAUAAAGGAGAGAAUCCAUGAAAGUGCCCGGUGCACGCAGAGCUGGGCCCAGGGAAGCGCUCAUAAAGGCCCCUCCGGCCCCAGGGGCGGGGUCCAAGGGGCCCAGGGGGAUGGGCAGUAGAUUUUUGGUUCUGUGCAAUUCCUGAUUCGAGCUUGAUCACUAGAUUCCUGUCUCAAGCUGUGAAAUGACAGCCACAGGAGCCAGAGUCGGGUCCCUGGAGGAAGCUGGUGAGAGGUGGCCGACUGUCAGGGCCUCUGUCCCCGGGAGCGGAGCUGAGAAGGGACCGACGGGAGCAGACGGACUGCGGGGCGGGCCGGUGCGCCCCUGCUGGUGAAGCCGAAUGGCCGGCCACCCCCGCGCCGGGUCGGGACGGGCCGGGAGCCCGCUGAGCCCCGGCCGCGGCUGAAGAGCAGCCCCAGGCUGGGCUGGCCCGGCGGGACCCGGGCCGGGGCUGCGUGCGCUUUUGCGCAAAUUGGAGACGGGCACCCCGCGCGCCUGCCCUUACGCGAUGCGAACGGCGCCCCCUGGAGUCUGAAGACAGCAGGAGCCCCCUCUGAGCUCUUCAAGGCCAAGGGCACAAUCUCCAGUUCUGAAACUGGGAAGUCCAGCAAUUGGGGGAAGCUUGUUGAGAAUUAGAGGAAUUUCUAGGUAAAAGCAUCAGAGCACUGUUGUCUUAUAAAUAUUGCAGUCUGUGGACCUCUCUGAGCCCCAUCUGUACAAUGGGCAUAGCAAUACUGAAGGAUGCCUCCAGCCUGGGCUCGGCACAUAGCAGUUGCUCAGUUAUAAUAGCUAACGUUUACUGCACAUUGUAACACUAAGACGGAUGGCUAACACGAGGAUGUAAGUGCGGUGUGAAGUGAGGGUUGAAGAGGUUAUGUAACUAACCAGCCAGAUGUCUCACAGCCGGGAGCCACACAGCAGAGACUCUGGUGGGUCAGGACACAGCCUCUUUGACUGGAUGUGCCGGAAUGACCUGAAAAGGUGCCGACUCAGAACCAACAGCACCCCCCUCCAAGGUAAGAGGCAGAACUGCCAGCUCAGGCAGUGAUAGGAUCGGAUUUAAUGUAAAGAGCAACCACCAAAAAAAAGAGUCAAGACUCAUCAGAAUGUCAGAACGUUCUGAACUUGGGGGAGAGGAGGACUGGAUCCAAACGCCCAGCAGGGAUGAGUGACAUCUUAGUCAUGGAACUGUCAGCGGAUGUGAAACGAGCCACUCAGAUGUGGGGGAUGCUGCUAAGAAGACAGGAAGGUUCAAACCAGGACACGGGGAGGGGCUCCAGCGAGAACACGGCAGCUGCUCUGCUCUGGAGGCUGCACCAUUUGGGGUGGCCUUCCUCUCUGCCUUUCCCUCCAACCCCAGCAGGGACGAGUUGGUGAGGUUGAUUCAUCCCACGGGAUGAAUCGUAAGGAGCAGCCUUUGGCUCAGGCACUGAUCUUGGGUCCAGCCAACCAUAGACAGGGUGGCCAGCUUCCGGAAAGCCAAUAUCCCCUGAGGCCUUGCUCACGCUGUGUGCUGAGUGCUGUUCAUGGAGCUUCACAGGUUAGCUCAUUGAAUCCUCGUAACAACCGCCUGAGCUAGGUACCAUUAUUAUUCCCAAUUUAGAAAUGGGGAAACUGAAGUCAGAGAGGUUAAGUGACUUUCCUAAGGUCACCCAUCUAGCAAGCCACAAAGCUCAGGCUGGCAUCCUUGUCUGGGAGCCUGUGCCCCUUAACCACCUCUGUCCUGUCCCACUUUCAAGUCGAAUUCAGAGCCCUAUUGUCACUUGAAAGCUGCUCUUCCCAGAAGGGGACAGCAGGGGGCAGUGUAACCAGCAGGCAUUUGAAGCUUGGCCCUCCC
rnacentral:lncRNA from 1 species